rnacentral:rRNA from 1 species
UACGUAGGGGGCUAGCGUUGUCCGGAUUUAUUGGGGCGUAAAGAGCUCGUAGGCGGUUGAGUAAGUCGGGUGUGAAACUCUGGGCUUAACCCAGAGCCGCCACUCGAUACUGCUCUGACUUGAGUUCGGUAGGGGAGCAGGGAAUUCCUAGUGUAGCGGUGAAAUGCGCAGAUAUUAGGAGGAACACCGGUGGCGAAGGCGCUGCUCUGGGCCGAAACUGACGCUGAGGAGCGAAAGCGUGGGGAGCGAACGGG